rnacentral:rRNA from 1 species
GACGAACGCUGGCGGCGUGCCUAAUACAUGCAAGUAGAACGCUGAAGGAGGAGCUUGCUUCUCUGGAUGAGUUGCGAACGGGUGAGUAACGCGUAGGUAACCUGCCUGGUAGCGGGGGAUAACUAUUGGAAACGAUAGCUAAUACCGCAUAAGAGUAGAUGUUGCAUGACAUUUGCUUAAAAGGUGCGAUUGCAUCACUACCAGAUGGACCUGCGUUGUAUUAGCUAGUUGGUGGGGUAACGGCUUACCAAGGCGACGAUACAUAGCCGACCUGAGAGGGUGAUCGGCCACACUGGGACUGAGACACGGCCCAGACUCCUACGGGAGGCAGCAGUAGGGAAUCUUCGGCAAUGGACGGAAGUCUGACCGAGCAACGCCGCGUGAGUGAAGAAGGUUUUCGGAUCGUAAAGCUCUGUUGUAAGAGAAGAACGAGUGUGAGAGUGGAAAGUUCACACUGUGACGGUAUCUUACCAGAAAGGGACGGCUAACUACGUG